UUUGACCUCAGAUCAGGUAGGGAUACCCGGUG
rnacentral:rRNA from 1 species